GACGAACGCUGGCGGCGUGCUUAACACAUGCAAGUCGAACGGAAAGGCCUGCUUUCCCUUGUGGAUUGCGGGUACUCGAGUGGCGAACGGGUGAGUAACACGUGAGUGAUCUGCCCCCAACUUGGGUAUAAGCCUGGGAAACUGGGUCUAAUUCCCGAUAGGACUGCAGGGUGGUGCCUGUGGUGGAAAACGAUUUUCUAGUGGCUGGGGAUGAGCUCGCGGCCUAUCAGCUUGUUGGUGGGGUAAUGGCCUACCAAGGCGGCGACGGGUAGCCGGCCUGAGAGGGUGGACGGCCACAUUGGGACUGAGAUACGGCCCAGACUCCUACGGGAGGCAGCAGUGGGGAAUAUUGCACAAUGGGCGGAAGCCUGAUGCAGCGACGCCGCGUGGGGGAUGACGGCCUUCGGGUUGUAAACUCCUUUCGACCGCGAGGAAGCCACCUGGUUGGAAGGGUGGUGACAGUAGUGGUAGAAGAAGCACCGGCUAACUACGUG
rnacentral:rRNA from 1 species